GGAGCACUAUACAUAGUGACAGCAUUUCCGGUGAUAAUUGGUAUCUCAGUAGUUCUAAUACUUUUCUACAAUUCUCUCCAAUAGUGCUUCUUCUUCUAUGUGGCUGAUGAUUGCCGGCUGUGGUGGUGGUGGUGGUUUCUUACCUAUCACGAGAGUUUGUCAUGUAUGCAUGACAUUUAUUAAAUGUCGAACCACGUCUUUCA
rnacentral:misc_RNA from 1 species